AAAAAAAAAAAAAAGUUACAUAUACAUAUUAAAUACGUUGCAUGUGUACAACCCUAAUACGUAACUAAUGCACCAUUUUUAUUUCUAAUUCAGAUAUUAUGUAGGUCUACUAACAGCACUAGCACUUUUCCAUUGUUUAGUGUUUGUUUUCUGUCUUGUUUUUUUCAUUUUAUUUUUGAAAAAUGAUAGCACAAAGAAUCAAUGGAAAUCUUUCUACAACACAUCAAGCGAUGUCCCUUUUUACGUUUUAGUGAGUGCACUCACUGUGUUGAACGGAGUUUUUUUUGUUUUAGUUGUACAACUUCUAGGAUUGCACAUUUUUCUGAUUUUAAAAAAAAUGACCACAUAUGAGUAUAUCGUUAACAGAUCGAACUCUAAGGAUAAAGAAAAUAAAAACACAAGGACGUGUUUAGAAUGGAUAGUCAUAGAUAAAAAGCGCUUGAAAAGCAAUAAUGAUAUUGAAGUAUGAAAAUUGAAUUUUUUUUUUUUCAUUUUUUUUAGCUAUAUAUUUAGCUAUACAUUUAUAUAUAUAUAUAUAUACCCCAUUUGGGCCACUUUUUUACAAAAUACAAAUAAUAUAUACAAAAAAAUAACUCAUUGAAUUAAUUUGCUUUGUUUUACAGAAUAUAGAAAAUCCAUAACAUUGAAUUAUCAAAAACUGAAAAAAAAUAAUAAAAUGUUAUUAAAACAAAUAAAAAGGAAAAAA
rnacentral:lncRNA from 1 species